rnacentral:rRNA from 1 species
GUGUCAGCCGCCGCGGUAAUACGGAGGGUGCGAGCGUUACUCGGAAUUACUGGGCGUAAAGCGGGCGUAGGCGGCCGGCUAAGUCGGAUGUGAAAUCCCGGGGCUCAACUCCGGAACUGCAUUCGAUACUGGUCGGCUAGAGUUCGAGAGGGGGAUGCGGAAUUCCGCGUGUAGCAGUGAAAUGCGUAGAUAUGCGGAGGAACACCUGAGGCGAAGGCGGCAUCCUGGAUCGACACUGACGCUGAGGCCCGAAAGCGUGGGGAGCAAACUGGAUUAGGUACCCUGGUAGUCCACGCCCUAAACGAUGUCUACUAGCCGUUGCGGGUAUCGACCCCUGCAGUGGCGCAGCUAACGCGAUAAGUAGACCGCCUGGGGGGUACGGCCGCAAGGUUGAAACUUAAAUGAAUUGACGGGG